rnacentral:tRNA from 1 species
GCCACUUUAGCUCAGUUGGUCAGAGCGGUUGUUUCGUAAACAACAGGUCACGGGUUCAAAUCCCGUAGGUGGCU